rnacentral:rRNA from 1 species
UAUUGGGCGUAAAGAGCUCGUAGGCGGCUUGUCGCGUCGGAUGUGAAAGCCCGGGGCUUAACCCCGGGUCUGCAUUCGAUACUGGCAGGCUGGAGUGUGGUAGGGGAGAUCGGAAUUCCUGGUGUAGCGGUGAAAUGCGCAGAUAUCAGGAGGAACACCGGUGGCGAAGGCGGAUCUCUGGGCCAUUACUGACGCUGAGGAGCGAAAGCGUGGGGAGCGAACAGGAUUAGAUACCCUGGUAGUCCACGCCGUAAACGUUGGGCACUAGGUGUGGGUCACAUUCCACGUGGUCCGCGCCGCAGCUAACGCAUUAAGUGGCCCGCCUGGGGA